UCCGUAGGUGAACCUGCGGAAGGAUCAUUUGUGAACAUAGGACGUCCAACUUUACUUGGAGUCCGAACUCUCACUUUCUAACCCUGUGCAUUUGUUUGGGAUAGUAACUCUCGCAAGAGAGCGAACUCCUAUUCACUUUUAAACACAAAGUCUAUGAAUGUAUUUUAUUUUUUAACAAAAUAAAACUUUCAACAACGGAUCUCUUGGCUCUCGCAUCGAUGAAGAACGCAGCGAAAUGCGAUAAGUAAUGUGAAUUGCAGAAUUCAGUGAAUCAUCGAAUCUUUGAACGCACCUUGCGCUCCAUGGUAUUCCGUGGAGCAUGCCUGUUUGAGUGUCAUGAAUACUUCAACCCUCCUCUUUCUUUAUGAUUGAAGAGGUGUUUGGAUUCUGAGCGUUGCUGGCCUUUCGGUCUAGCUCGUUCGUAAUGCAUUUGCAUCCGCAAUCGAACUUCGGAUUGACUUGGCGUAAUAGACUAUUCGCUGAGGAAUUCUAAUCUUCGGAUUUGAGCCGGGUUUGGUUUAAGGAAGCUUCUAAUCAGAAUGUCUACAUUUUUAGAUUUGAUCUCAAAUCAGGUAGGACUACCCGCUGAACUUUAGCAUAUCAAUAAGCGGAGGAAAAG
rnacentral:rRNA from 1 species